rnacentral:lncRNA from 1 species
UCCAUAACGGGGAAAAAUUCUUAAUGAUCUGAAUACUUCAUGCAGAAUACUACUCUAUAGUUCUUUAGAAGAGUUUUGCAGAUAAUUGGAUAAUGAUAAACAUUGAACAAUUAAUUUGUAUUCUUUAACUAUUGAUGUUUCCCUAUGUGGAGGAGAAGAAUAUCUCAUCUUUUCCAUCUGAAGUUCAAAAAGAACACUCCUUGCCACUGUAUCAAGAUCAGACCAGCAGCAGUGACUGGACAGAAAACCAAUAUGAGGAAAAGAGCAGUAAUUUGAUGAAGAGAUUGCAAAAUAUUUUUUCCUUGUUGCUUGCUUUGCUUGCCAUCUUCC